rnacentral:rRNA from 1 species
AGAGUUUGAUCCUGGCUCAGAACGAACGCUGGCGGCGUGCUUAACACAUGCAAGUCGAGUGCGCGCCUGUAGCAAUACAGGUGGCGCACGGCGCACGGGUGCGUAACACGUGGGCAAUCUGCCCUCUGAUGGGGAAUAACCCGCCGAAAGGCGGGCUAAUACCGCAUAAAAUUCCUUGGACUCAUGUUCGAGGACUCAAAGGCGUAAGUCGUCGGAGGAGGAGCCCGCGCACGAUUAGCUAGUUGGUAGGGUAAUGGCCUACCAAGGCUUUGAUCGUUAGCUGGUCUGAGAGGAUGGCCAGCCACACUGGAACUGAGACACGGUCCAGACUCCUACGGGAGGCAGCAGUGGGGAAUCUUGCACAAUGGGCGAAAGCCUGAUGCAGCGACGCCGCGUGGGGGAUGAAGCAUUUCGGUGUGUAAACCCCUUUCGAUCCGGACGAAUACCUCGCAAGAGGGGGUGACGGUACGGAUAUAAGAAGCCCCGGCUAACUACGUGCCAGCAGCCGCGGUAAGACGUAGGGGGCCAGCGUUGUUCGGAAUUACUGGGUGUAAAGGGUUCGUAGGCGGUGUGGCAAGUUGGGAGUGAAAUCUCUGGGCUCAACCCAGAGGCUGCUUCCAAAACUGCUGUGCUUGAGUGUGAGAGAGGCUCGUGGAAUUGCAGGUGUAGCGGUGAAAUGCGUAGAUAUCUGCAGGAACACCCGUGGCGAAAGCGGCGAGCUGGAUCACUACUGACGCUGAGGAACGAAAGCUAGGGGAGCAAACAGGAUUAGAUACCCUAGUAGUCC